rnacentral:ribozyme from 14 species
GAAAAGAAAAGAAAAGAAAAGAAAAGAAAAAGCAACUCUUGAUGCUCUGCUUGACUUUCCAUUAUUUUAUAUCUCACGUCGUAUAUUGUUUUUCUUCUUCCCAA